AUUCUUGUCUUUUCAGAUAAUUCUAAAAAAAAAAAAUUCACAUAUUAGAGUCUAAUACUCUAAUUAGGUCAAGCCGUCAAGCAGCUUCAAUCUUUGUCCGCCGUCUUCUUUCUUUCAGAAUCGAGAGCUUCCUCACCCCCAUUCCUCAAUCCCCAUUCCUCACCUCAAUCCCUAAUUCCAAUUCGAAAUCAAACCCAUUUGGGUUGCUAACACCAGCCGUUUCAUUUUGCUGUUGUCAUAAUCCGCCGAUUGGAAGUGGUUGUGCGGCAGGUGCAGCCGUGCAGCGAGCGGAAGCUUGGAUCUUGGAAGCAGGUGCAGGCGUGCAGCAGAAAGUGAAGGCAGCAAAAGAGAUUCUACUUCCCAUAAAUUGAAUGUGAUAAUUGGAAAGGGCCUGGAGUUGAAAAUUUGGAAUCCAUAAGCAAAAGCUGGAAAGGAUUAUUGUGGAAUGGACAACAUGCUACUGUUUUAGUGCUUUAAUUGCAAAAUUUGUUUCACUUUUUUAACUUGAAUGGACACUUUGUCUUUGUUUUUUCUGUUUGUGUGACGUGGUGGAUGUUGGUCGUGUGACUUAUCUCUGAAUUUAGAUGUUAGUUUUGAUGUUAAAAUACGGAUGAAUUUGGAUAUUGGUUGGCAUAUCGGCUGAAAAGUGUUGACAGUUUGAUGCUUUGGACUUUAAAUUGAUAUUUUUA